UAUAGAAAGAGAGAGAGAGAGCUAGGCUGCUAUACUAUCGGUAGCACGGAAGUCUCCGUGCUAUCAAAUUGUUUUCAAUGAUGUGGCUUUCAAAUUGACGAUCGGCUCCGUCAGACUUGAUCUACACUAUUAAAAGUAUUUGAAAACUAAAUUUCAUAAUUUUUCGACAUUAUUUGGCUAGUGAUUAAAAGGUCUCAAAAUUGACAAUUUUAAUGGUAGAUGUGAUGCGUUUGUGAAUUAAAGGUGUAAAUCAAUCCAAAUCUGAUGAAAUUUUUAUAGAAAAUUCUUUUCACUACUUAGAAUAAGAUAAGUAGUUUUGAUCCUAAAUUUAAGUCUUUUAUCAUUAUUUUUUAUGAGAUUUUUUUUUUCAGCCGUUCAUUUUUAGACUACUCGUUUGAUAGGUAAAUGAUGCCAAAAUAUUAUGAAAUUUAUUUUCCAAGUACUUUCAAUAGU
rnacentral:lncRNA from 1 species